AUGGACUGGACCUGGAGAAUUCUCUUCCUGGUGGCAGUGGCUGCAGGUGUGAACCCCCAGGUACAGCUGGUGCAGUCGGGGCCUGAGGUGGGAAAACCUGGGACAUCAGUGAAGAUCUCCUGCAAGGCGUCCGGAUACACCUUCACCGACCACGGGAUGCACUGGAUGCUGCAAGCCCCGGGACAAGGGCUCGAGUGGAUGGGAUGGCUAAACACUAAAAGUGGUGGUACAGGCUAUGCACAGAAGUUCCAGGGCAGACUCACCUUCACUGUAGACAAGUCCAAGAACACAGCCUACAUGGAAUUGAGCAGGCUGAGCACUGAGGACACGGCUGUGUAUUACUGUGCGAGAGACACAGUAAUGGGGCUCACAGGGUCAGGCUUCAUCUGCGGGAAAGGCUCAGGAUCUCUCUCUCUGUCCUUCGGCAAUAGCCAACAGGAAGAUGUCUUCUCUCUAGAACAUUUGGAAACCUCUGUAGCAUUUGGAUGGUUUUGUAGUCUCAUGGUUGUAUGCAAUGGGGAAUUCCAGAAAUAA